rnacentral:rRNA from 1 species
GUGUCAGCAGCCGCGNUAAAACCAGCACCUCAAGUGGUCAGGAGGGUUAUUGGGCCUAAAGCAUCCGUAGCCUGCUUNGUUAGUUUUCGGUUAAAUCCAUAUGCUCAACAUAUGGGCUGCCGGGAAUACUGCAUAGCUAGGGAGUGGGAGAGGUAGACGGUACUCCGUAGGAAGGGGUAAAAUCCUUUGAUCUAUGGAUGACCACCUGUGGCGAAGGCGGUCUACCAGAACACGUCCGACGGUGAGGGAUGAAAGCUGGGGGAGCAAACCGGAUUAGAUACCCGGGUAGUCCCAGCUGUAAACUAUGCAAACUCAGUGAUGCAUUGGCUUGUGGCCAGUGCAGUGCCGCAGAGAAGUCGUUAAGUUUGCCGCCUGGGAAGUACGUACGCAAGUAUGAAACUUAAAGGAAUUGGCGGGGGAGCACCACAAGGGGUGAAGCCUGCGGUUCAAUUGGAGUCAACGCCAGAAAUCUUACCCGGAGAGACAGCAGAAUGAAGGUCAAGCUGAAGACUUUACCAGACAAGCUGAGAGGUGGUGCAUGGCCGUCGUCAGCUCGUGCCGUGAGAUGUCCUGUUAAGUCAGGUAACGAGCGAGAUCCCUGCCUCUAGUUGCCACCAUUACUCUCAGGAGUAGUGGGGCGAAUUAGCGGGACCGCUGCAGUUAAUGCGGAGGAAGGAAGGGGCCACGGCAGGUCAGUAUGCCCCGAAACUCUGGGGCCACACGCGGGCUGCAAUGGUAGUGACAAUGGGUCCCGAAUCCGAAAGGAGGAGGUAAUCCUCAAACGCUACCACAGUUAUGACUGAGGGCUGUAACUCGCCCUCACGAAUAUGGAAUCCCUAGUAACUGCGUGUCAUUACCGCGCGGUGAAUACGUCCCUGCUCCUUGCACACACCGCCCGUC